rnacentral:rRNA from 1 species
UGGGGAUAUUUGAGACAAUGGGCGAAGCCGUGAUACCCAGCCAUGCCGCGUGUAGUGAAGAAGGUCUUCGGAUUGUAAAGCACUUUAAGUUGGGAGGAAGGGCAGUUAGCUUAAUACCUUGACUGUUUUGACGUUACCGACAGAAGUAAGCACCGGCUAUACUCUGUGCG